rnacentral:rRNA from 1 species
UACGUAGGGUGCAAGCGUUGUCCGGAAUUAUUGGGCGUAAAGAGCUCGUAGGCGGCUCGUUGCGUCGGCUGUGAAAACCCGCAGCUCAACUGUGGGCUUGCAGCCGAUACGGGCGGGCUGGAGUUCGGUAGGGGAGACUGGAAUUCCUGGUGUAGCGGUGAAAUGCGCAGAUAUCAGGAGGAACACCGGUGGCGAAGGCGGAUCUCUGGGCCUUGCCUGACGCUGAGGCGCGAAAGCGUGGGGAGCAAACAGG